GCGAUCAUAGCUCAGUUGGUUAGAGCACAAGAUUGGGGAUCUUGGGGUCGCGGGUUCGAGUCCCGUUGGUCGCCCCA
rnacentral:tRNA from 1 species